GGGCCGGUAGCUCAGCGGUUAGAGCGGCGAUCUUAUCAAUCGUGCGGCGUGGGUUCAAUUCCCGCUCGGCCUA
rnacentral:tRNA from 1 species